rnacentral:rRNA from 1 species
UACGUAGGGUACGAGCAUUAAUCGGAAUUAUUGGGCGUAAAGGGCGCGUAGGCGGAUAUAUAAGUCAAGUGUGAAAUACCAAAGCUCAACUUUGGUGCUGCAUUUGAAACUAUAAAUCUAGAGGAUUGACGGAGAAAGCGGAAUUCCACGUGUAGCGGUGAAAUGCGUAGAUACGUGGAGGAACACCGGUGGCGAAAGCGGCUUUCUAGUUUUUACCUGACGCUGAGGCGCGAGAGCAAGGGGAGCAAAC